UGCAGGACAGCUCAGUCAGUAGAGCAUGAGACACUUAAUCUCAGGUUUGUGGGUUCGAGCCCCACAUUGGGCAA